rnacentral:rRNA from 1 species
UCCUACGGGAGGCAGCAGUAGGGAAUCUUCCGCAAUGGACGAAAGUCUGACGGAGCAACGCCGCGUGAGUGAUGAAGGCUUUCGGGUCGUAAAACUCUGUUGUUAGGGAAGAACAAGUGCUAGUUGAAUAAGCUGGCACCUUGACGGUACCUAACCAGAAAGCCACGGCUAACUACGUGCCAGCAGCCGCGGUAAUACGUAGGUGGCAAGCGUUAUCCGGAAUUAUUGGGCGUAAAGCGCGCGCAGGUGGUUUCUUAAGUCUGAUGUGAAAGCCCACGGCUCAACCGUGGAGGGUCAUUGGAAACUGGGAGACUUGAGUGCAGAAGAGGAAAGUGGAAUUCCAUGUGUAGCGGUGAAAUGCGUAGAGAUAUGGAGGAACACCAGUGGCGAAGGCGACUUUCUGGUCUGUAACUGACACCGAGGCGCGAAAGCGUGGGGAGCAAACAGGAUUAGAUACCCUGGUAGUCCACGCCGUAAACGAUGAGUGCUAAGUGUUAGAGGGUUUCCGCCCUUUAGUGCUGAAGUUAACGCAUUAAGCACUCCGCCUGGGGAGUACGGCCGCAAGGCUGAAACUCAAAGGAAUUGACGGA